rnacentral:misc_RNA from 1 species
UUAUUCAUAAUUAUACAAACAUAGUGACGGCAUAGGCAUUUCAAACGCACCCAAAUCAUGAAAAUACAUAAGCAGCAGACAAAUUAAAAAUUAUUAGUAUAAAAAUUUUCAAGACCUAGUAUAAUACUAGUAUUAACUUAUAGCUUAGAUGCUGCAACAAAAUCCUUGACCUGGGAGAUCAAUUGGGAGGACUCUGCCAAUUCGGGGAAGAUGUAAAAAGCAUGAAUCAUAUUUGGAUAUUCUAUCAGACUUGCAUCUUUUCCGGAUCUCUUUAGCCAUUCGUAGUAUCUCCUCUGCCAAUCCUGUAAAGGGUCCCACCCGGCUACAAACACCAACGUUCUUGGAUAAUCCAGACCUGAAAUAUCCUCCGCAUUAGGUCCGCUCACGUUCACCGCGUAAUGGUCCCGAUUCAUCCCUUCCGGCAGAAACACCUUCCAACACCAAUCUGUUCGAGGAACCGAAACCAACAGCGACCCAGUCAGUCGGAUCUCCGACUCGGUUCUCUCCUCUCCUCCAAAAAACGGCUGUAUAGAUAUUAAUCCAACAACCUUAGCGACCCGAAAUCGUGUCCGGCAUGCCUUAACCGCCACGUGAUGAGCCAAGUUUGCCCCGGCACUAUCUCCAGCAAGGAAACAUUUUGAUAAAUCCGCAUUGGCUGGCAACGCCGUGGUGUGAUUCUCAUCAAGGAAUUUGAGGACGUCAAAACCGUCAUCAUAUUGACAAGGGAAGCAGUGUUCAGGGGUGAGACGGUAGUUGACGGAGAUUACGAUGGCAGGGAGUCUACGUGAGAAUCUGCGGCAAGCGAUGUCGUAAUAUCUGCUUGCAGCGCUAAGAAACGAAAAUCCUCCUCCAUGGAAGAAAAUCAUCACCGGGAGAACAUUGUUGCUGCCCUUAUCGUUAGGUAAGGAGUCAUCGUGAAGCAUAUUCGCGCAACAAGCUGCUGCUGCUGUCUCUGUUGUACUUCCGGUUGGGAAGUAUAGGCGAAACCAUAAGUUGCGGGUGCUGUCAACCAUGGUGUCGAAGGAGAUAACGGAAC